rnacentral:rRNA from 1 species
CCCUUAGAUGUUCUGGGCUGCACACGUGCUACACUGGCAGGUUCAGCGAGCUUCAUGCCCUGAUCUAAAAGGAAUGGGAAAUCUUUUCAAAACCUGCCGUGCUUGGGAUAGAUGUUUGCAAUUAUUCAUCUUCAACGAGGAUUGCCUUGUAAGCGCACGUCAUCAGCGUGCAUUGAAUACGACCCUGUAUUCUGUACACACCGCCCGUCGCUCCUACCGAUUGAAGUUUUCGGUGAGUUGACAGGAGGAUUUUUUUGAAACUGGUUCGCCAGUGGAUUUUAGAUCCAAAUGCCAACGAAUCGAUGGCUUUAGAGGAAGGAGAAGUCGUAACA